AGCUCCAAUAGCGUAUAUUAAAGUUGUUGCAGUUAAAAAGCUCGUAGUUGAAUUUUGGACCUGGCUGGGUGGUCUUGCCGCAAGGUAAGCACUGCCUCUGGUCGGGUCUUUCCUUCUGGGGAACCUGUGUGCCCUUAAUUGAGUGCGCAGGGGAUCCAGGACUUUUACUUUGAAAAAAUUAGAGUGUUUAAAGCAGGCUUUCGCUUGAAUACAUUAGCAUGGAAUAAUAGAAUAGGACUUUGGUUCUAUUUUGUUGGUUUCUAGGACCGAAGUAAUGAUUAAUAGGGAUAGUUGGGGGCAUUAGUAUUUAAUUGUCAGAGGUGAAAUUCUUGGAUUUAUGAAAGACUAACUUCUGCGAAAGCAUUUGCCAAGGAUGUUUUCA
rnacentral:rRNA from 1 species